rnacentral:lncRNA from 1 species
CGUUUGUCAGAUUUGCGAACGGAUCGCACCAAUGCGAUCAGCACAACGAAGACAAUAAACCUACCAUUUCGUUUCGCCACAAUCGAUCACGGAUUCACGACGAAACCCGUUCACUCUCUCCAACAGACAAGUGACACACAAAUACAUAUAAAACAUGUAUUUUUCGAUUUUCUCGAAAUCCGUGCUUCAAACCCAAAAUUCGUCAGCGCCA